rnacentral:rRNA from 1 species
CCUACGGGAGGCAGCAGUGGGGAAUAUUGCACAAUGGGCGGAAGCCUGAUGCAGCGACGCCGCGUGAGGGAUGAAGGCCUUCGGGUUGUAAACCUCUUUCAGCAGGGACGAAGCGUGAGUGACGGUACCUGCAGAAGAAGCACCGGCUAACUACGUGCCAGCAGCCGCGGUAAUACGUAGGGUGCGAGCGUUGUCCGGAAUUACUGGGCGUAAAGAGUUCGUAGGCGGUUUGUCGCGUCGUUUGUGAAAACCCGGGGCUCAACUUCGGGCUUGCAGGCGAUACGGGCAGACUUGAGUGUUUCAGGGGAGACUGGAAUUCCUGGUGUAGCGGUGAAAUGCGCAGAUAUCAGGAGGAACACCGGUGGCGAAGGCGGGUCUCUGGGAAACAACUGACGCUGAGGAACGAAAGCGUGGGUAGCAAACAGGAUUAGAUACCCUGGUAGUCCACGCCGUAAACGGUGGCGCUAGGUGUGGGUUCCUUCCACGGGAUCUGUGCCGUAGCUAACGCAUUAAGCGCCCCGCCUGGGGAGGUACGGCGCGAGACAACUACAAUAGAUAGACGGCGUGAGACGNGCCGACGGACGACGACGAGGGAGGUAGG